rnacentral:rRNA from 1 species
UGUGACCGGGCCUAAACAUGCAAGUCGAGCGGAAACGACUUAUCUGAACCUUCGGGGGACGACAACGGCGUCGAGCGGCGGACGGGUGAGUAAUGCCUAGGAAAUUGCCCUGAUGUGGGGGAUAACCAUUGGAAACGAUGGCUAAUACCGCAUGAUGCCUACGGGCCAAAGAGGGGGACCUUCGGGCCUCUCGCGUCAGGAUAUGCCUAGGUGGGAUUAGCUAUUUGGUGAGGUAAGGGCUCACCAAGGCGACGAUCCCUAGCUGGUCUGCGAGGAUGAUCAGCCACACUGGAACUGAGACACGGUCCACACUCCUACGGGAGGCAGCAGUGGGGAAUAUUGCACAAUGGGCGCAAGCCUGAUGCAGCCAUGCCGCGUGUGUGAAGAAGGCCUUCGGGUUGUAACGCACUUUCAGUCGUGAGGAAGGUAGUGUACUUAAUAUCUGCAUUAUUUGACGUUAGCGACAGAAGAAGCACCGGCUAACUCCGUGCCAGCAGCCGCGGUAAUACGGAGGGUGCGAGCGUUAAUCGGAAUUACUGGGCGUAAAGCGCAUGCAGGUGGUUUGUUAAGUCAGAUGUGAAAGCCCGGGGCUCAACCUCGGAAUUGCAUCUGAAACUGGCAGACUAGAGUACUGUAGAGGUGGGUAGAAUUUCAGGUGUAGCGGUGAAAUGCGUAGAGAUCUGAAGGAAUACCGGUGGCGAAGGCGGCCCCCUGGACAGAUACUGACACUCAGAUGCGAAAGCGUGGGGAGCAAACAGGAUUAGAUACCCUGGUAGUCCACGCCGUAAACGAUGUUUACUUGGAGGUUGUGGCCUUGAGCCGUGCUUUCGGAGCUAACGCGUUAAGUAGACCGCCUGGGGGAGUACGGUCGCAAGAUUAAACUCAAUGAAUUGACGGGGGCCCGCAGCGGUGGAGCCUGUGUCUACUUCGAUGUACGCGAGACUUACCUACUCUGACAUCCAGAAGAACUUCAGUGAUGAUUGUGCUUCGGACUCUGAGAACGUGCUGCAUGGCUGUCGUCAGCCUCUUGUUGUGAAUGGUGUAGUUCCCGCACGGGCCACAACUUAUCUUGUUGCAGCGGAUAGUCGAAUCUCGAAACUGCGGUAAAAGGAAGAAGUGUGGGGG